AGUGAACGCUGGCGGUAGGCCUAACACAUGCAAGUCGAACGGCAGCACAGUAAGAGCUUGCUCUUACGGGUGGCGAGUGGCGGACGGGUGAGGAAUACAUCGGAAUCUACUUUUUCGUGGGGGAUAACGUAGGGAAACUUACGCUAAUACCGCAUACGACCUACGGGUGAAAGCAGGGGGUCUUCGGACCUUGCGCGAUUGAAUGAGCCGAUGUCGGAUUAGCUAGUUGGCGGGGUAAAGGCCCACCAAGGCGACGAUCCGUAGCUGGUCUGAGAGGAUGAUCAGCCACACUGGAACUGAGACACGGUCCAGACUCCUACGGGAGGCAGCAGUGGGGAAUAUUGGACAAUGGGCGCAAGCCUGAUCCAGCCAUACCGCGUGGGUGAAGAAGGCCUUCGGGUUGUAAAGCCCCUUUGUUGGGAAAGAAAAGCAGCAGGUUAAUACCCCGCUGUUCUGACGGUACCCAAAGAAUAAGCACCGGCUAACUUCGUG
rnacentral:rRNA from 1 species